UAUAUUCUGGGGUAUUUGUGAAGCUCUUAUUUUGAACCUACAGUUCAAGCAAGGGAGUUCAAUAUUUAGAUGAGGAUAUGUACAUUCUAGUGAGCCCUUUUAUGGCAUGAAUGAGUUAGAGGCAUCUGUGAGAGCACCCACCUAUCGAGAGAUAGGUGUCAAAAUUAGAGUAACGGUAUUUUGGAAUUACA
rnacentral:other from 2 species